UACGUAGGUCCCGAGCGUUGUCCGGAUUUAUUGGGCGUAAAGCGAGCGCAGGUGGUUUAUUAAGUCUGGUGUAAAAGGCAGUGGCUCAACCAUUGUAUGCAUUGGAAACUGGUAGACUUGAGUGCAGGAGAGGAGAGUGGAAUUCCAUGUGUAGCGGUGAAGUGCGUAGAUAUAUGGAGGAACACCGGUGGCGAAAACGGCUCUCUGGCCUGUAACUGACACUGAGGCUCGAAAGCGUGGGGAGCAAACAGG
rnacentral:rRNA from 1 species